CAGUAGCCGCGGGAAUACAGAGGGUGCGAGCGUUAAUCGGAUUUACUGGGCGUAAAGCGUGCGUAGGCGGCUUCUUAAGUCGGAUGUGAAAUCCCUGAGCUUAACUUAGGAAUUGCAUUCGAUACUGGGAAGCUAGAGUAUGGGAGGGGAUGGUAGAAUUCCAGGUGUAGCGGUGAAAUACGUAGAGAUCUGGAGGAAUACCGAUGGCGAAGGCAGCCAUCUGGCCUAAUACUGACGCUGAGGUACGAAAGCAUGGGGAGCAAACAGGAUUAGAUACCCCGGUAGUCCCUGUCUCUUAUAC
rnacentral:rRNA from 1 species